GUCCUUUUGAAUUUAUUUAAGGUCUAGUCUGCCCACUGAAUUAUAUUUUAAAUGGCCGCAGUAUUUUGACUGUGCAAAGGUAGCAUAAUCAUUAGUUUUUUAAUUAAAAGCUUGUAUGAAAGGCUGGACGAGGUAAAAUCUGUCUCUAUUUAAAUUAUAAUAGAAUUUAACUUUUGAGUUAAAAGGCUCAAAUUUAAUUAAAAGACGAGAAGACCCUAUAGAGCUUUAUAAUUUAUUUAAUAGAAUUAAUUUAGAAAUAUUUAUAUUUUUUUAAAUAAAAUUAUUUUAUUGGGGUAAUAGAAAGAUUAAAUUAAUUCUUUUUUUUUAUAAACAUUGAUUUAUGAAUUUUAAUGAUCCAGUUUUAUUGAUUAUAAGAUUAAGUUACCUUAGGGAUAACAGCGUAAUUUUUUUAGAGAGUUCUUAUCGAUAAAAAAGUUUGCGACCUCGAUGUUGGAUUAAAGAUUAUUUUAGGUGCAGAAGCUUAGAAUUUUGGUCUGUUCGACCAUUAAAUCUUUACAUGAUCUGAGUUCAGACCGGCGUAAGCCAGGUCGGUUUCUAUCUUUAAUAAUAUAAAAUAUUUUAGUACGAAAGGACCAAAUAUUUAAUAUAUUUAUAUUUUAUUAAUUGAAUAUCAUUAAAAUUA
rnacentral:rRNA from 1 species